rnacentral:rRNA from 1 species
CUACGGGCCGCUCCAGUGGGGAAUAUUGGACAAUGGGCGCAAGCCUGAUCCAGCAAUGCCGCGUGAGUGAUGAAGGCCUUCGGGUCGUAAAGCUCUUUCAGUAGGGAAGAUAAUGACGGUACCUACAGAAGAAGCUCCGGCUAACUUCGUGCCAGCAGCCGCGGUAAUACGAAGGGAGCUAGCGUUACUCGGAAUUACUGGGCGUAAAGCGUGCGUAGGCGGUCUAGAAAGUUGAAAGUGAAAGCCCGGGGCCUAACCCCGGAACUGCUUUCAAAACUACUGGACUAGAGUAUUGGAGGGGAUAGCGGAAUUCCUAGUGUAGAGGUGAAAUUCGUAGAUACUAGGAGGAACACCGGAGGCGAAGGCGGCUAUCUGGCCAAAUACUGACGCUGUUGCACGAAAGCGUGGGGAGCAAACAGGAUUAGAUACCCCUGUAGUC